UCACUUUCCUUCUUCUCUUGCAGCUGUUUUCCCUGAUUUACAUUUUUAUUGAAGAUGGAUUCUUCUUCCAAAUGAUUCAUCUCAUCACAGUUUCCCCUCCCUCCACUACUCCCAGCUCCCCCUCUAGCAUUCCCUCCCUUCCAGAUUCACCCCCCUCCAUUUCCUAUAAGAAAAUAGCAGGCCCCCAAGAGACAACAACCAGACAGGACAGAACAAAAUGCAGCAAGACAAGGCAACAGCCCUCACACAGAAGAUGGACAAGGCCACCCUACAUGAGAAAAAGAGUCCCAGGAACAGGAUUGCCUGAGCUCCAAGAGGACGGAUCUGAUGGAGACCUCUGAUUUAGAUUCUCUGUCUGCAUAAUUGGCUGUAGAUUUCCACAUCUAUUCAUCAUCUGCUGAUGAUGACUGGAUAUAAUAUGAAUUAUAGUAAUAAUUUCAUUGAUUUGUUUUAAGAC